rnacentral:lncRNA from 1 species
UGCACCCCUCGGCUUGACCUCUGAUGGCCGUUGCAACAACAUCAAAGCCUUUGGAACUUUGUAGGGGGAUGCCGAAGGACCUGUUCAAAGUAUUUUCUGUAACUCCAACUGUAACUUGGUUCUAGGAGGAGAGAAUCCAUGUUUGGUCAACAGAACUUUUCGCCGCCACUUAAGUUUACUGCUUCAAUAUCUUUUCCUUACUAAUUGAUUGUUAAUUAAGUAGUGUCCAAGUGAGUUAGCCUUUUUAGGGUUGAUUAAUUAAAAGAGCAGCAAGAAUGGCA